ACUAUAAAUAUUAGAGGGCUGCUUAAACGCUAGUCCGCCGCAAGGGGGGCGACACUAUCAAAUUGCGGGAACGCCCUAAAGACCUCAACACCAAGCGUCCGCCGGAAACGGCGGCGUGGCCGAGCUAACAGCCCUGGGUAUGGUAACAGCUUGAGGUAUGAAGCCCCCCGGUCCGGGGGGUCGAAAUGGGUAAUCUGCAGCCAAGUCCUAAGGCGGGCAACCGCUAUGGAUGCUGUUCACAGGCCAAAUGGUAGUGGGUGGUCCCCCCGGGGGCUGCUUAAGAUAUGGUCGGGCCCCUUUAGAAAUAUUGGGGGUAAGUUUACGCUUACCUUUUGAAGAACCGUUCCGUAGGUGAACCUGCGGAAGGAUCAUUA
rnacentral:ncRNA from 1 species